rnacentral:rRNA from 1 species
GACGAGCGCUGGCGGCGUGCUUAACACAUGCAAGUCGAACGGAAAGGCCCUGCUUUUGUGGGGUGCUCGAGUGGCGAACGGGUGAGUAACACGUGAGUAACCUGCCCUUGACUUUGGGAUAACUUCAGGAAACUGGGGCUAAUACCGGAUAGGAGCUCCUGCUGCAUGGUGGGGGUUGGAAAGUUUCGGCGGUUGGGGAUGGACUCGCGGCUUAUCAGCUUGUUGGUGGGGUAGUGGCUUACCAAGGCUUUGACGUGUAGCCGGCCUGAGAGGGUGACCGGCCACAUUGGGACUGAGAUACGGCCCAGACUCCUACGGGAGGCAGCAGUGGGGAAUAUUGCACAAUGGGCGGAAGCCUGAUGCAGCAACGCCGCGUGCGGGAUGACGGCCUUCGGGUUGUAAACCGCUUUCGCCUGUGACGAAGCGUGAGUGACGGUAAUGGGUAAAGAAGCACCGGCUAACUACGUG